GACGAACGCUGGCGGCGUGCCUAAUACAUGCAAGUCGAACGCUGAAGGAGGAGCUUGCUCUUCUGGAUGAGUUGCGAACGGGUGAGUAACGCGUAGGUAACCUGCCUGGUAGCGGGGGAUAACUAUUGGAAACGAUAGCUAAUACCGCAUAAGAGUAGAUGUUGCAUGACAUUUGUUUAAAAGGUGCAAUUGCAUCACUACCAGAUGGAGCUGCGUUGUAUUAGCUAGUUGGUGGGGUAACGGCUCACCAAGGCGACGAUACAUAGCCGACCUGAGAGGGGGAUCGGCCACACUGGGACUGAGACACGGCCCAGACUCCUACGGGAGGCAGCAGUAGGGAAUCUUCGGCAAUGGACGGAAGUCUGACCGAGCAACGCCGCGUGAGUGAAGAAGGGUUUCGGAUCGUAAAGCUCUGUUGUAAGAGAAGAACGAGUGUGAGAGUGGAAAGUUCACACUGUGACGGUAUCUUACCAGAAAGGGACGGCUAACUACGUG
rnacentral:rRNA from 1 species